rnacentral:tRNA from 1 species
AGAAACUUAGGAUAAUAAAACCAACAGCCUUCAAAGCUGUUAAAAAGAGUCCACCCUCUUAGUUUCU